GAUGAACGCUGGCGGCGUGCCUAAUACAUGCAAGUCGAGCGAACGGACGAGAAGCUUGCUUCUCUGAUGUUAGCGGCGGACGGGUGAGUAACACGUGGAUAACCUACCUAUAAGACUGGGAUAACUUCGGGAAACCGGAGCUAAUACCGGAUGAUAUUUUGAACCGCAUGGUUCAAAAGUGAAAGACGGUCUUGCUGUCACUUAUAGAUGGAUCCGCGCUGCAUUAGCUAGUUGGUAAGGUAACGGCUUACCAAGGCAACGAUGCAUAGCCGACCUGAGAGGGUGAUCGGCCACACUGGAACUGGGACACGGUCCAGACUCCUACGGGAGGCAGCAGUAGGGAAUCUUACGCAAUGGGCGAAAGCCUGACGGAGCAACGCCGCGUGAGUGAUGAAGGUCUUCGGAUCGUAAAACUCUGUUAUUAGGGAAGAACAUAUGUGUAAGUAACUGUGCACAUCUUGACGGUACCUAAUCAGAAAGCCACGGCUAACUACGUG
rnacentral:rRNA from 1 species